rnacentral:lncRNA from 1 species
GACGAUCUUUGGCAGGCUUCACUACGUCAUGACGCAGUGACUCCAGCUGGACGUCACGUCGCUGCUUGCUAACGGAAGACACCGACAGCCGUGGUGUUUGAGAUUAACGGGACAAACCGGGGAAAGAGGAGUUUGGCUUUUUCUGUCGCUGCCAGCAGGUUUUUACGGAGACAUUUCCUCCUCCAGGCUGGUGGCUUGUUCGUUAACAGACUGCUACAUGCUAACUGACAUUAGCUGUCAGGCAGUGAGGAGGUGCUCCAGAGGCCUCGGACAGCUGUUAGCUGCAGACUGCAGACUCAGCAGCUGUCUGUCUGUUACUGUCUGUGGGCCUCAGUCUGUCUGCGUGUUGUUCCUGCUCUGACUUGCAGCUGGAGGGAUGUCACGAGACCCGACACUUUGGUACCACGUCGAUGCCAAAAUUCUGAAAAUCGUUUUUCUAAAGUACCGUAGAUACCGGAGGGACUCGAGACUAACUGCGACCCGUCGACGCGUUUGUAUCCGAAAGGGAAUAAGACAUUUAAAUGUCGGUUCCUAAAGCACUCGGGUGCCCCGGACCACAUGUUCCCUCCUCUGCUCGUCUCUCCCUAACAGCUGUUUGCUCCACCAAAACACUCGCUCUGCACACAGUACGCACAACUUGCCUUUGUGUGAUUAUUAAUUAAUUAAACUCAGUAUGAUGCGUCCAGGAGACUUGACCUAUAUUUCCCUGUUAAUGUUACAUUGAAACCAGCAGGAGAGCUAGUUAAAGUUAGCUGUUAGCUGUUAGCAGUCGGUAUCGGAGGUGCUAUUGACUUGCAGGAAGGUGCGUUCAGGUUGUAUUAAGUAAAAAUGGGAAUUGGGAGAAGGUGAAGUAUAACGUUAUCAUGAUGUGUUUAUAUGUAAUCUUGUAAAAUAUAGUUUUUGGUGAGACAAUUACUUAAGUUUACAGUUGUUUGUAUGAGAUGUGUUUAAAGCAAUAUUAAAUAGACAACAAUUAUGACAUGUUAAACUUAAAAAAAUAAAUAAAAACCGGUAUUCAAAUGUAGUAAAGGAGUGUAGUUGAAAUACAUGGAUUCAUUGUUUUGUUUGAGUUUUUUACCGUGUAAUUGAAUUGGCGUCGAGGAAUUUCACUG